CCCGGUCGUAGACAUAGACCAGCUCGCUCCCGGUGGACAGGAAGACCUCCGCCCCGUGGCACAGCACGCGAGGCUUGCCCACCGCCAGGCCUCCGAGCGGGCAGCAGAAGCCCGCCAGCCACCAAGAAUGCUCUGAGAACUGAUGGGGAAGGGGAAAAGAAAAGCCGGAGGAGUCCAGAAGGUCUCCGCACUCAGCACUUAGAGCACAGGCUCCGGACGCGCAGGCUCAGCGACCAUGGCUCACGGGCCCAGCUGCUCCAUGGCAUGUGGGAUCUUCCCGGACCGGGGCACAAACCUGUGUCCCCUGCAUUGGCAGGCGGACUCUCAACCACUGCGCCACCAGGGAAGCCCUAAAUAGUUUUUAUAACGAGAGACUUCGAAAGCCUUCCAGGGGCUCUCAGGCAGUAUUUACAGAAAAUGCUUCUUAACAACAUGUCUUAAAAACGCCAACUGUGCAGCUGUGUGCCUGGGGCCUGGACGCUGGCCAACCUUCUGGGCCAAGGUGAUAAACUGGAGCUGAUUCGGGAAGAGGGGAGAGAGAUCAGGAAGAAGCAGAGGCUGGGAUUCUCAAACUGUUCCAACAGGAAUUUUUAAAUUGUUGGAUCCCUCAUGUUCCCACUAGAAGGACACAGAGCUAAGCGGCCUCUGCGUCCCAUGUGGUUCUAACAAAUGGAGGAACUGUCCUCCAUCACAGAGGGCAGACACUUUUGAACAAGCUGUUCCAGUGUAAACGCUGCAAGUGAAAAAUUCACCUUUCUAUCAAGGCCUUCGUGCAAAGCUGCUGCCCACAGGACAGGUUAAGGGGGACUUAGCUGCUCUGGUGCUGCCCAGCAUGCUCUGGUCUGAGGAGCAGAAGCCCACUUGGCCCGUACCUGCAGAGGCAUGACGUCAUUGGUGACCAGGAACAGCAGGAGGUGGAAAUCCGAGAUAGUGUCCAGGAACACGGAUGAGGUGUUCUGAGACAGGUAGGUGGCCAGGCUGUGGAAGUCCUGGAGUGCCAGGUAUGGGGGGAGACAGACAUGAGCACCCGUUAGUCCCAAGCCAGAGUCGCAGGAAAGCCACUGUCCUACAAAGAUGGAACUGAACACGUUCGGCGCUGAUGGAUGGGCCUCCCCGUCUCCUUCCAGAACCACUUACUGGGAGCCAAGGACAGAGGAAUGCACAGUUGCAGAAUAAGCUGUGGCCUCAUCUCCCAGGAAAACACUCUCAGUACAUUUGACUUAUGGAAGAGUGUAAGCAACAUGUCUGUGAAGCUGACCCAGCUGUGAGACAUGUUCAAACUCACCUCUGGGGGCCAGUGGGAGUGGGAAGGGCCACUGCGGGGCUGGGAGAAGCCCCGUCUGUCUAGGUACAUUGUUGAUCCAGGGCAGCACGGUAGUGAGGAGUAGGAAUCGGGGGGCGGUGGGGAGGAUUACGUGACACUAACACUUUCAACAGGAGUGAAAGCGGGAGAUUCAAGAGUGCCACCCCAGUCAGUGGCUCUGCACCUCCACAAGCACCUGGGCAGAUGGGCAGUGAGGAAACCAAAGCAUCAGAGAGGCCUUGUACACUAAUCACAGCUUCAGAAGACAAUCUCACUGUACACAUUCUUUAACCAGGCCCCUUUCUGUAGUGCCUGUUAUCAACUUGGGAUGUGUGUUCACAGACCAUUGAUGUGUCAGGACAAGGCAGUCACAGCAGUUCUGAUCGGGCCUGAUGUGCAGGUGAGAGCCAAGGUGGCCAGGCCACAUGAGCCCCCACGGCUUGGAUGGUGCCUGAGAAACAUGGCAGGGUAAUGAGGUAGGGGGCAGAGCACGCAGCAAAGUGAGACAUUGUCACAAAAGACAACGCUUACCAACAAUCAAUAACGUUGUUGGGAGAGGACAAGAAGUGACCAAUAAAACAGGCCCCCUGAGAAUGGUCCUUCCAGCAAAUCCACAGGCCUGAGGGCUUACAGGGAUUUGCCUCUGUGCUCAUCCACUGCCCCUGCCCUGGAGAGGGCUCAUGUGAUCAGCAGUGUCUUAGACAAAGGCCUAGCCAGGUUUUGUCACAAAAACAAAUCAGGAGAGUCAGAAAGCUUGCUACUUUCUAGAAAAACAAUAGUGACACUAGAUAAACAAACAGUAGGGACUCUAAAUUAUGUUUCUAAAGACAAAGAGCUUACCUGUGUCUCACCCAAUACAUCCCGGUUUUCAAUAGGAAAUGGAUUUUGUGAAAUAGAAAAAGUAUAAACUGGAUCCUUGGGGAAA